AAAAAAAAAUGGAAGAUAUACCAUGAUCACGAAGGUGGUUUUCCCAGGUGAGCUCAUCCAUUGCACUCCAGAUGUGCCGACCCCUACAAUUUCCCCAACGGUGGGAAACUCGACUGCAUAAUUUGUGGUAGUGGGGGACUGUGUUCACACUCUCCCCUG
rnacentral:snRNA from 1 species